GUGCCCACCUCCAGGGUAGCACAUAUUCUAAAAUUGGAACAAUACAGAGAAGAUGAGCAUGGCCUCCAGGUAAGGAUCAUACGCAAAUUCGUGAAGCAUUCCAUAUUUUU
rfam:Tupaia chinensis contig164530, whole genome shotgun sequence.